rnacentral:tRNA from 1 species
GCUCCCUUAGCUCAAGCGGUUAGAGCGUGGUGCUUAUAAGUUGUGAACCAACUACCAAUGAUUGGCUUCAGUGCUAAGUUACGCCAAGGCUACGGGUUCAAGUCCCGUAGGGAGCA